CAGUCGUACCGACGAGAAAUCAACUUAUCGUGUGCGAACUUGUGGGCGUGCGUGAGUUUCGGCCUCGCUGUUUGCAUGUUUGUGCGCUUUGGGUGUACUUUUUCGUAUGGUAGGCCAACGUCAGUUUCGAUUAUCAUAAAAUGACCGGCGGAAUGUAGCUUCGAUUUCGGUUGAAGUGUUAUAGCCUCUGGUAGAUGUGGUGAUUGGGACUGAGGAUUGCAACGAAUAUCCUUUGGGCUAUCCGUCUGACCUCUGAAAGUUGCUCAGGUGCCGAAAGCGUGCUUACGGUCAUCUAAGAUAACGUUCAACAGGCUAGAACGUGAUUACAUUCGUUAAGGACGUUGGCGUAAUGGCUUUAAACGA
rnacentral:rRNA from 1 species